GCAAUGAGUGUGAAUGAGCAUUGUUACCAGGCUCACUCCAGAGACGCAGCCUGAGCUCCAUGGCUGCCCCUCACGCUGCCCUCAGGUCGGAGGCCCUGAAACCCCUCCUGGGAGCAGAACCGCGGGAGGCCCCUCUGUCAGCUCCCAUCCAUUCCUGCAUCCCCACCCCCAGAGAUGGUCCUCCUGAAUUCCAGCCCCCUGGAUAGCAGGGAGCCCUGCACUUCCAUGUUACAUACAAGAACUGCCCACAGAGAAUGAGAGAGGGAGCAGGGGAUGGCAGUUUCCAUAGCAACGCUAGGUUUCUCAUUCCCAGCACACAAAAUGCCAAAGCAGGGUUGGGGAGGUGCAGAGAGAGGAGUCUCCUCUCCCUCUCCUGCCCUCGCCAUCUCCACCUUGCUAGGUCCCAUUCAGAUGAGGAAAGCUGAAACAGGUGAUGCUGAAACUCCUGAAGGAAUCGUGUCAUCUUGAGCUGCUCAAGUUUAUUUCCACUAAAAAUACACCCUGAAACUGGGGCACAAUGAAGGAUUUCUGACAAAUGGGGAAGAGGAAUAAAUAAAAACUCUGGGGCCUUCUGAUUCUUCACUGAGUCACCUCCAAAUACUCACCAGUGAGCUGAGCUUGGACUCUCUCCACUCGUCGCUGUCAUCAGUAAAAGCUCAGGCAGUCCGUGUGGUCUGGGAGCUUAAAAGUCUCGAAGCUUGUGAGUCAUUGUUAGGAGAGGCCCCUGAUGGAACUGAACCCUGCAUCUACCAGGGAGGAAACAGAAGAACUAGAGGGGAAGUGACUUGGUCCUGCACCAUUCGGAUGAGUGUGCUGGAGAGGGACUUAGAGCCUGCACCCGGCCUCCUCACUUCACCACCCCAACUCCCCAGUCUUCCCAAGCCCCCCGCCUGCACCCAGCACCUGUGUCUGCCGUUCCUGUGGCACAUCUUAAGGCAGCCUAGGCAUGCCAGGGGGCGGUCAAUGAGAGAAUCCUCAGUUAGCAAUAAAGAAUGCUUUCAGCUUCAGGUUACAGAAAACCAGAUCAAUGGCAGCUCAACUGUAAGGACAUUAGUGUUGACUCAUUGAGACUAGGGAGGGAGGUAGCCCCAGGCUGAGACCACUGACUCAGCCAUGUCAAGAAGGAUCCAAGUUCCCCACUCUGCCAUUCUGGGGAUUUUAACUCUUUACCCUCAAGCUUAUUGCCUCAUAUCACAAAAUGGUUGCCACGGCUCUGGAUAUCAAGUCCUUAUAAAUAGUAUGCAAAGCUAAAAGGAGUUACCUAAAAAAAAAAAAGUUUCCUUCUCUGCCUUCUCCUUGGGUAGCUCUCUCUCUUCUGUGCAUACG
ensembl:lncRNA